UGAAGAAGAAGGGGCCGCUUCAUUCCCCAGACACACCUUCAGGAUACUGCCGCCUCUUAAACCCUGGCCUACCCAACGGUUCUACUAGGCAGCUAUUACGGGGAGUCUCAACGUCUGGUCUUACAUAGUCACGAAAAGGGGAAGACCUCUACAAAUGAGUAAAAAAAAGAAAAAUACAAAAAAUUGGGCGGUCGAGGAAAUUAAGCUAGACUAGAUCCUACUUAAAAGUAAAGACUUGAGGUCUCUGGACUUCCACAUGGUUCUUACCUACAAAUAUGGGGGAGAAGUUGACUCCUAGUUCAACGUGGUCAUGAUGAAGAGGAAAAAUUGUCUACAAAUGAGUAAAAAAAAGUCACAGGAAAUUGCAUCCUCCAGGAUAUUAAGGAGACUAGAUGCUCUAGAUGUGCCAUAAUGAUCCUACGUGAGCAACAAA